rnacentral:rRNA from 1 species
GAACCUUACCAGCCCUUGACAUGCCGUGCUACUCGCAGAGAUGCGGGGUUCCAGCAAUGGACGCGGACACAGGUGCUGCAUGGCUGUCGUCAGCUCGUGUCGUGAGAUGUUGGGUUAAGUCCCGCAACGAGCGCAACCCUUGCCUUCAGUUGCCAUCAUUUAGUUGGGCACUCUGGAGGGACUGCCGGCGGUAAGCCGGAGGAAGGUGGGGAUGACGUCAAGUCCUCAUGGCCCUUACGGGCUGGGCUACACACGUGCUACAAUGGUGGCGACAGAGGGCGCAGGCGAGAGCGCAAGCUUUAGCAAAUCCUCAAAAGCCAUCUCAGUUCAGAUUGCGCUCUGCAACUCGGGCGCAUGAAGGUGGAAUCGCUAGUAAUCGCAGAACAGCAGGCUGCGGUGAAUACGUUCCCGGGCCUUGUACACACCGCCCGUCACACCAUGGGAGUUGGUUUUACCUGAAGACGGUGCGCUAACCGCAAGGAGGCAGCCGGCCACGGUAAGGUCAGCGACUGGGGUGAAGUCGUAACAAGGUAGCCGUAGGGAAACCUGCGGCUGGAACACCUCCUUCUAGACUGCAGAA